CCCUUAGAUGUUCUGGGCCGCACACGCGCUACACUGAAGGAGGCAGCGUGUACUCCUGGAUCGAAAGAUUUGGGUAACCCGCGAAUCUCCUUCGUGCUAGGGAUUGAGGUUUGCAAUUAUCCUUCAUGAACGAGGAAUUCCCAGUAAGUGCAAGUCAUAAGCUUGCGCUGACUACGUCCCUGCCCUUUGUACACACCGCCCGUCGCUACUACCGAUUGAAUGAUUUAGUGAGGACUUCGGACUGGGACCGAUGCGGCUUUCGGGCUGCGUCGUUAUUCUGGAAAGAUGUCCAAACUGUAUCAUUUAGAGGAAGUAAAAGUCGUAACA
rnacentral:rRNA from 1 species